CUUGAAAUCAUCUUUUUAAUACAAUGUUAUAGAUGUCAGCUGGAGCAAAGGUCUUCAUAUAUACUAGUGCUGCUCUGAAAGUAAUGUUUUAUUAUGUUGGGCUAUGAUGUUCAGAGAUGGAUGUUGGUGGUAUGGCAGUAGAAGUAGAACCUGUCUAUCAGUAUCCUGUUACAUUUUGUGCCAUGGCAGCAGAGGGGCAGUCUGACAAAGUGACGUCUGACACGAAAGAGCGAGUGAAUGGAUGUUACUGAAUUUCUCUGUGCUGAAAAAAAUGGCACCCACUGACAUUCAUUUGACACUUGUUGAACAUUGAUGGAGGCCAAACAGUGAAUGUGAGCACAGCGAGACUGUGGGUGGUACAUUUCAGCAGUGGUGACAGUGACAGUGGAUCACCUCCACUAAUGCAGAUUUUUAUGAUUGCGGCAUGCAAGAUCUUAUUCAUUGCUCGUGAAAAUACAUAGCUAAUGGUGGUGACUGUGUUGAAAAAUAGUGUUUUUUAGUCAAGGAUUUGCUCAAAUAGUAUUAUUUACUCUUUCUAGCUGUUGUAGUUUUUCAUAGUUUCCAAGUAAAUAGGAGGUAUUACUUUUGGAGCGACCUACGUAUUUUUGUGCAUGACUUAUCUGAAGCUCUGGUACGUGAGUGAAGAAAGGAUAAAAGGGGAAGACAUUUCCUUCUCUUUUUCUUAUGUUCUGGUUUUUAAGGCCAUGUCUUUUUAUAUCUGCUGGUUUAUCUGUGUGGGUGGGCAGGUAUGAGUCUCAACCUGUCUUCCCCUUGUGCAAUGUAAUGUGGAAGUUUAGGUUGGUAUGCUGCUGGGGCCAGCCCACAUCCUUCACCCACACAGCCUCAUGAAGCAGUUACACACAUCAAUCAGGGAAAACCCUCAUCUCUGCACACCGUUGGAGCAGGUGCAUAAGCUCAGGGUGACAACAGAUGUCUGUCACAUUGCCACAGGCGGCCACUAGUGCCUGCCAACUUGUCUGCCUACAACAAAUCUAACUUAUGUCUGAGUGUUGUCCAAAUGCUUCUUGAAAUCUGGCAGGCUUGGUGCAGUAACCACUGCCCUGGGGAGCUUGUUCAAGUGCCCAACUACCCCCUGCUAAAGAAUCUUUUCCUAAACCCCAACCUGACUGUCCCCUGAUAUAGCUCCAUGAUGGUUCUGUCACUGUAAUCAUAGAGGAGAGAUCAGCACUGCCUCUCUGCUGUCCUCAUCGGGAAGCUGUAGGCUGCCAUGAAGCCUCCCUUCAAUCUCUUCUUCCUUGCACUGAAGAUACCAAGGGACCAUUGCUGC
ensembl:lncRNA